rnacentral:rRNA from 1 species
GAAGAACCCGGGGGGCGUGCCUAAUACAUGCAACUCGAGCGAACGGACGAGACGCUUGCUUCUCUGAUGUUAGCGGCGGACGGAGGAGUAACACGUGGAUCUCCUACCUAUAAGACUGGGAUAACUUCGGGAAACCGGAGCUAAUACCGGAUAAUAUUUCGAACCGCAUGGUUCAAAAGAGAAAGACGGGCUUGCUGUCACUUAUAGAUGGAUCCUGCGCUGCAUUAGCUAGUUGGUAAGGUAACGGCUUACCAAGGCAACAUAUGCUUACCCGACCUGAGAGGGUGAUCGGCCACACUGGAACUGAGACACGGUCCAAACUCCUACGGGAGGCAGCAAUCGGGAAUCUUCCGCAAUGGGCGAAAGCCUGACGGAGCAACGCCGCGUGAGUGAUGAAGGUCUUCGGAUCGUAAAACUCUGUUAUUAGGGAAGAACAUAUGUGUAAGCAACUGUGCACAUCUUGACGGUACCUAAUCAGAAAGCCACGGCUAACUACGUGCCAGCAGCCGCGUGUAAUACGUAGGUGGCAAGCUUUAUCCGGAAUUAUGGGGCGUAAAGCGCGCGUACGCAGUUUUUUAACUCUGAUGUGAAAGCCCACGGCUCAACCGUGGAGGGUCAUUGGAAACUGGAAAACUUGAGUGCAGAAGAGGAAAGUGGAAUUCCAUGUGUAGCGGUGAAAUGCGCAGAGAUAUGGAGGAACACCAGUGGCGAAGGCGACUUUCUGGUCUGUAACUGACGCUGAUGUGCGAAAGCGUGGGGAUCAAACAGGAUUAGAUACCCUGGUAGUCCACGCCGUAAACGAUGAGUGCUAAGUGUUAGGGGGUUUCCGCCCCUUAGUGCUGCAGCUAACGCAUUAAGCACUCCGCCUGGGGAGUACGACCGCAAGGUUGAAACUCAAAGGAAUUGACGGGGACCCGCACAAGCGGUGGAGCAUGUGGUUUAAUUCGAAGCAACGCGAAGAACCUUACCAAAUCUUGACAUCCUUUGACAACUCUAGAGAUAGAGCUUUCCCCUUCGGGGGACAAAGUGACAGGUGGUGCAUGGUUGUCGUCAGCUCGUGUCGUGAGAUGUUGGGUUAAGUCCCGCAACGAGCGCAACCCUUAAGCUUAGUUGCCAUCAUUAAGUUGGGCACUCUAAGUUGACUGCCGGUGACAAACCGGAGGAAGGUGGGGAUGACGUCAAAUCAUCAUGCCCCUUAUGAUUUGGGCUACACACGUGCUACAAUGGACAAUACAAAGGGCAGCGAAACCGCGAGGUCAAGCAAAUCCCAUAAAGUUGUUCUCAGUUCGGAUUGUAGUCUGCAACUCGACUACAUGAAGCUGGAAUCGCUAGUAAUCGUAGAUCAGCAUGCUACGGUGAAUACGUUCCCGGGGCCU